GGGACGGACACAUGGGCCGGCCACCCCAGAUGGGCUCCGCACCUCAGGCUUGGGGCCCCUCCUGGUGCGGCACGGGCAGUCUGGCGGCAUCCAGCGCUGGAGCUUCCUGAGGCCUGCUUGGGGACAGCAGUUCUGAGUGACCAGCUCCGAGCUCUGAGGACCCACUCCCUCGGCCCUGGGCUGAGUCUCUGAACACCUCCUCCCUCCUGCGCCUGAUUUCCCGCUGCCUCUCUGCUCUCCCAGCUGCGUUGUUUGCAUCCAGGACAUCCAUUCCCGCCCCUCGGCUUGAAUCCCAUCCCUGAGCAGCAGCCAGGCCUGCAGGCUUGGGGGCAGGCGCGGUGGGGCGGGCCUUCUCCUUCUGCCUACCGGUCAGAGAUGUGGCUCCCCAAACUUGGGGAAAAAAAGCCCGGUCUUCUCCUUCCUGGUGUCUGAUUGCUGUCCCCCUGCCCCCAAGCCAAACACUUGAAAUCAUCCUCAUUUAAUUGGGCUAAUUUAGGAGGAAUGGAAGCAGUAAUUCACUCGUGUUGUUGAGUCUCUUUGAGAGACGUAUUAAUAUUCUGAUUCCAAGAGGGAUCUGUGCAAAUUCCUCAGUUACAGAUGACACAAUUAAAUUUCUAAAUUUUUCCCCUAAAUUAGUACAGAUGGUUAAAAAUACCCUUGCAUUUUAAUUAAUCUUCUGAACAAUAGUCCUAUGAAUACAAAUGGAUCAUUACCCCUUCCGCAGACGGGCCUCGGGCCUCCGGGGAGUGAGGGAGGCCAAGGGCACAGCUGUGGUCGUGCCCCAGCCGGUCACAGGGCCUCGUGGAGAGUGGUGGGUGCUGGGCCUUUGACUGUGACUCUCGUCUUCCAGGCUGGGCUGAGAGAGCCACCCUUUGCCCAGGCCCCAGGCUGUCCUAGGAUUCCUUUUGGUCGGGCAAAGGAGCUUUGAGAAGAUGUUUCAAAGGUGUUUGCUCUGCUGUGAGGCCCCCCUAACCUCUCAGGCUGCUCUCCCCUGGGUGUCCUCUGCAUGUGUGCAUGUUCACGUGUGCGCAUGAAUGUUUUCCAGAGAGCUUUGUUAGGUGCCAUAACCAAGACAUGACCAUCUGCUAUUGUCUAUUUGUGAGUCUGUCCACUCUGCAGACUGCAGGCAGCUCUGGACCUUUCUUUAUGUCCCCAGAACCCAACAGGGGACUGGAUUUGGGUGCUUGUUGAAAUUUAAAGCCAAAUUUCCUGGACUACAUCAAAAUAAAACACAUUUUGUGCAUCAUAGGACACUAUCAAUGGAGUAAAAGGACAACCCACAGAAAGAGAGUAUUUUGAAAUCACCUCUCUGAUAAAGGAUUAAUAUCUACAAUAUAUAAAGAACUCCCAUAACUCAACAACAGUAAAACCAAGCAAUCCAAUUCAAUAAAAGGCAAAGGACUUGAAUAGCCAUUUCUCCAAAGAAGAUAUAAGACUGGCCAACAAGCACAUGACAAGAUGCUCAACACCACUAAUCAUUAGGGAAAUGCAAAUCAAAGCUGCAGUGAGGUACCGCCACUUACCCACGAGGAUGGCUGCUCUCAGAAACAGAAAACAGGUGUUGGUGAGGGUGCGGAGAAACUGGGGCCUUGUGCAUGGCUGGUGCAGUUGCCACGGAAAACAGUAUGGCAGUUCCUCAGAAAGUUAAAAAUAGAAUCACUGUACGAUCCAGCAAUUCCACUUCUGGUGUACAUCCAAAAAGCUUGGAAGCAGGAACUUGAACAGGUACUUGUACACGUGUGUUCACAACAGCAUAGUUCACAAUAACCAGAAGGUGGAAGCAAGCUGACAGCCCAUUGACGGAUGAAUGGAUAAGUCACGUGUGGUCUAUCCAGACAAGGAAAUGUGAUUCACCCUUAGAAAGGAAGGACAUUUCAGUACCUGCUGCAGUGUGGCUGAGCCGUGGGGGCGUGACGCUCAGUGAAAUAAGCCAGACACAGAAGGGCAAAUUCUAUAUGAGUCCCACGCGCAGGAGGUCCCCAGAGGAGUCAGGUCCAUAGAGACACCUGGUGGACGGAAGGGGGCUGGGGCCGGGAAGGCAUGGGGAGCGAGUGUUCAGUGGGCACAGAGCUCCAGUUUGGGAAGAUGGGAGGUUCUGGAGACGACGGUGGGGCGGCUGCAGAACAAUGUGAAUGUGCCGAGUGCCCCUGAACUGUACACUUGAAAAUAAUUAUGAUGGUAAAUCUUAUGCAUGUUUUACCAUAAUUAAAAAAAGUCGAAUUCCCUUGGC